rnacentral:rRNA from 1 species
UACAUGUGGGGCAAGCGUUGUUCGGAAUUACUGGGCCUAAAGGGUGCGUAGGCGGCUUGUUAAGUCAGGGGUGAAAUCCCACGGCCCAACCGUGGAACUGCCUUUGAUACUGGCGAGCUUGAGUGCGUGAGGGGUGACCGGAACGAGUAGUGUAGCGGUGAAAUGCGUAGAUAUUACUCGGAGGGCCAAAGGCGAAGGCAGGUCACUGGUACGCACCUGACGCUGAGGCACGAGAGCGUGGGGAGCAAACAGG